rnacentral:rRNA from 1 species
GAAAGCUAGUUGUAUUAACUAUUAUUAAUGCAAAAUCGAUUAUGUCGAAUAAAGUUCUAGGUAUAAUAAUGAUUAUGACAAUUUUCUACCUAUAUGUCUUGACCAAACCUCGUGCCAGCAGUCGCGGUAAUACGUGGAAGACUAGUGUUAUUCAUCUUUAAUAGGUUUAAAGGGUACCUAGACGGUUUUUCUAGCCCAAAAUAGGGUACGGAUUUACUAAAGUUUUAUGUGAGGAGGGGAGUACUUAUGGAGUUAGAAAUAAAUUUCUGUAAUCCAAGGAGGAAUUUGGUGGCGGCGAAAAAACCUUCUAAGAAUAACUGGACGUUGAGGGACAAGGGCUUGGGUACCAAAUAGGAUUAGAUCCCCUAGUAUUCCAAGCAAACCAUCCUGAAUGCCAAAAAUUAAAUUAUUUUUGGUUUAUAAAUGAAAGUGUUAUGGUUCCCCCUCAAGAGAAAUGUGGAAACCCAGGAACAGAAAACUUUAGAACGUUUUUGAAACCUUCAAUGAACUAUGUUUUUUCUUUCCAUGAUCCGCAAAAAACCUCCCCCCACUUUGAAUAUUAUUAUGAUUAUACAAGCGGUGCACGGGUGUGUUCAGUUAAUGUCGUGAGAUUUUGGUUUAUUCCAUUAUAUUAACGUAAACCCUUACUUU